rnacentral:lncRNA from 1 species
GUGCUGUUAUAUAAAGAAUAGAGAACAACAGAUACAAUUUAUUAAGAGUAGAGAAAAAUGGCUUUAAACAUAAAAGAACACAGAAAUGGUGGACCCAAUAUCCAGACCCUCAUGAUUCAUUAUAUAUUGACUAUUAAUCCACAUUGAUAAUUGUUGUGAGAAGGUGGGGCUAUAUAUAUGAGUGCAUGAUCAGACCUACACCUUUGUUUUGUUUGUGAAAUUUACAUUUUUAUGAAGGAUAAAACAUUAUUGGAUAAAGAAACAAUAAACACUGUCAUACAGCUAUUUUAUAUUUGCUAAAUAUCAGCAUAUAUUAAUAUAAGGAUUUGACGUCAACAAGUGUCCUAUUUCCCUUCUGAGACAGUACAUAACAAGAUUUCCUGAAUUUAAUAGUAUGAUCCUUUUCCUUUAAGUACAACACCUCCGUAUCCACCUCCAUAUCCACCUCCGAUUCCUCCAUAUCCACCUCCUAGGCCCCAUCCUCCAUAUCCACCUCCAAUACCCCAUCCACCUCCUUUACCCCAUCCUCCAUAUCCACCUCCAAGGCCCCAUCCACCUCCUUUGCCCCAUCCUCCAUAUCCACCUCCAAGGCCCCAUCCUCCAACUCCACCUCCUAGACCCCAUCCUCCAUAUCCACCUCCUUUACCCCAUCCUCCGUAUCCACCUACUAGGCCAUAUCCUCCUCCUUUACCCCAUCCUCUGUAUCCACCUCCUAGACCCCAUCCUCCGUAUCCAACUCCUAGGCCAUAUCCUCCUCCUUUGCCCCAUCCUCCUCCCCAGCCACCAAUGCCUCCAUAUCCACCUCCCAAGCCACCUAGGCCUCCCCAGCCAACUCCAUAUCCACCACUGUAUCCGCCACCAUAUC